UACGUAGGGGGCAAGCGUUGUCCGGAUUUAUUGGGCGUAAAGAGCGUGUAGGCGGCUUGGCAAGUCCGCUGUGAAAACUCGAGGCUCAACCUCGAGACGUCGGUGGAAACUGCCUCGCUAGAGUCCGGAAGAGGAGAGUGGAAUUCCUGGUGUAGCGGUGAAAUGCGUAGAGAUCGGGAGGAACACCAGCGGCGAAGGCGGCAAACUGGAUAGGAACUGACACUCAACAACGAAAGCGUGGGGAGCAAACAGG
rnacentral:rRNA from 1 species